rnacentral:rRNA from 2 species
GUAACAAGGUUUCCGUAGGUGAACCUGCGGAAGGAUCAUUAAUUG